AAGGCGGCUCUCUGGCGGCUCUCUGCGCGCACAGGUGUUCACCACAGGUGGAUGGUGAGGAAAAGUGCGUCCUGUAAAACGAGUUCAGCUCUUCCCUGCCGUUAUUUGAGCUCAAUCACUCAUACAGCUUAGGUAUGGCUCACAACUGCGUGGGGAACUGUGCCCCGUUAUUUUUCCUAGCCAUUGCUUUUGACGUCUGCGGUUUGAUAGUUAUUUUAGUUGGUAUUUUCGCCGAUCUAAAGUUGGACGGUCACUUCUACGGUGAUUUCCUCAUCUACACGGGUGCACUCAUCAUUUUCCUCAGUCUGGCUUGGUGGAUUUUGUGGUACACGGGCAACAUAAAGGUUUACUCCGAGGACUUUGAUAAAAGCACCCUGGACAAUUUUGCGCACUGGGCAAGAAAGUUUUCGGAAAGGCUCUCGAAGAGCAAGAUUAAAACUCUGGAAGCUGGGGAGAAGUGCAAGUGGAAUGGAAAGGAAUCAGUGAACGCAACGGUUCCUGAUCAAACUCUAUCACGAAUUACGUGUGAACACAGCAGCAGCCUGACGGGACACGACAAUCUAGGAUAUGACCGAAGUUUUGACCACCAGCCUACAGAGAAAACGGUGGAGUUGGGGAUUCUGAAUAAUUCUGAGGUGUUGCAGAGCAUUAUGGAUGGAAAAGUGGUUAGGCUUCUCUGACACACAGUUGGUAAUCUCUGGUUCUCCGGUUUUGAAGAAAGUAUGCCUCGCUCCUCCCCAAGAGCUGCUUUUUAAAUCCAUACAAGACUGUAAACCUUUUCGCCUAUAUGAACUAAAGACACUUUAAAUAUAGAAGACUACUUUCAUUCAGGGAGAGGCCCCGCGCUGAAGCAAUCUCCGGGCCCUGCACAAAGGAUAGAAAUGUCUGUGAAUUUUACUUGUAAAUGGAUAAAUAACUAGAUUAUUUUAUGUCCUGAAUUUUACAUGGUCUGUUUUGAAGAUGUUUUUUUUUUAGAAAAUAAUAACGCCAUUUCUCUGGGUUCUUAAUCAGACAUCUGUGACUGGAUAGCCCACACAACAACAAAGAUAUUGGAUUCCACUUCUGCUGGAAGUAGGUGUUAUUCAGACAAAUUGAGGUUCCAGAAAGAGAGAAUUAAUUAGAUAAUUAUAAUAUUCAAAAUCCAUUUGAGGGACAUAAACAAAUCAAAACAA